CCUACGGGAGACAGCAGUGAGGAAUAUUGGUCAAUGGGCGCUAGCCUGAACCAGCCAAGUAGCGUGAAGGAUGACUGCCCUAUGGGUUGUAAACUUCUUUUAUAUGGGAAUAAAGUGCAGUAUGUAUACUGCUUUGCAUGUACCUUAUGAAUAAGGAUCGGCUAACUCCGUGCCAGCAGCCGCGGUAAUACGGAGGAUCCGAGCGUUAUCCGGAUUUAUUGGGUUUAAAGGGAGCGUAGGCGGGUGGUUAAGUCAGUUGUGAAAGUUUGCGGCUCAACCGUAAAAUUGCAGUUGAUACUGGCAUCCUUGAGUACAGUAGAGGUAGGCGGAAUUCGUGGUGUAGCGGUGAAAUGCUUAGAGAUCACGAAGAACUCCGAUUGCGAAGGCAGCCUGCUGGACUGUAACUGACGCUGAUGCUCGAAAGUGUGGGUAGCAAACAGGAUUAGAUACCCCUGUAGUC
rnacentral:rRNA from 1 species